UGCGAUGAGUCGAGAAAGACCAGGUGAUGACUAGUUCAUCAUUCCGCUGCGGCGGCAUAGUGGUUAUAUUUCGAUGCAGGACACAGAUGCUAGCGUAUUCUAGCGUGUUUACUAGUAUGUAUUGUGGAGUAC
rnacentral:ncRNA from 1 species